CGGAGUGCGGAUAAGCUACCUAGUGAACAGUAGAGAGGUGUGUUGAAGAAGAUCGGCAGUUCUGGAUCCUAAAUUAAGACCAAAUCGUGUAUCUUUUUGAGGCAAAAACAUAAAUGAUUUGGAGAGAGAGGUAGAAUCGGCGAAGACAGAUCAGAGGACAUCAAAUAAUAUCAGGAGGACGGUGGUAUCUGCUGAACUAUGAAGGGGGUCAUCUGGGUCUGAGAGUAUGAGUCGGUCAUGGAACGGCUGGGGUGGCAGCCACGGUCGGUAAAACCUCUGGUUCCGAUUCUCGGAAAGCCCAUGAUCCAGUUGCUUACAGUCUUUCUUCUUCAAGUUUGAUUGCUCAGAUUAUUUACUUGUUAAUUUAUAGUAAAAAUGAUUAGAUGGUAAUUGACGAAGGAUUCAGAGGUGGUUGAAUUGGGUGGUGGGGAGUAACUGGAAAUUGGGUUUAUCGAUCUUAAGCUUAGUGUCAAAUUUGACAUUUUGACAAUGUGAAGCUAAGGCAAUAUUUGGUGGAGGUUUAAGUGUUGAUAAUCAGAGACUAGAGAAUUGUGAUAUUAUAAUUAGGUGAUCAUUUUAUGAAGCUAUUGAUUUUAUUUGGGCUCUAUAAUCCUCUAUUCGGCAUAAUAUGUGAAUGAUGAGUAAGUUCACAUGGGAGGUAGAACAUUAUGUUCUCCUGGGUUUUUGUAGAAUGUCUAGAUUUGUAGAUGUAAUCAGUGAUAAGCUAUAAAUCUUUGCUCUUGGUUGUGUUUGCUAGUGUUUUGUAUGUACUGUGUGCCAUCAUACUUUAGUGGAAACGAUGCUACCAAGCCUACCAUGAUAUGCUUUACUACUUUGUUGUGAUUCUAGAUGACAUAGGAUUGUGGGAAAGAGCAAAACUUGCUGACAAGCUGGAUCAACUUGAAAAUAGCAGCAUGCUGUUUAGAUUUUGGAGCUAAGGUUACCUCAUGGUUGUAGACUGUUUUUCUGUUUGAUCCUUAUGUGCAUUGCUAAUACAAUCAGGAGCCUAGUGGCUGCUUCACU